GGGGGCGAAAUAGGAUCGACGAGGGCGUAAAGGGCUUGCUUUUUCUCGGUAUUGUUCCGCCGUUAUCGGGCUAAUGCAAUAGUUGCCAACGACAACUAUGCUCCGGUUGCUCAGGCUGCGUAACGCGGUUUGAAAGACCAAGUCUAAAGUCCUAACGGGUUAAGCUCCGUUAGGCGGGGUUCGGAGGCACCUGGCAACAGAAGCCUCCACU
rnacentral:tmRNA from 1 species